CGGGCAGUUCAAAAGUAGAUAAUAAAAGGAAACGGUUGGAGUGCUGAUACACCAACGGAGAUAUUGCGAGGAGGAAGAGCGCUUCGCGGCUCUUACGACAUCGAGGUAGAGGAACGUGACGGGACUGUUUAUCAGAUGAAGUAAAAUUUGAAGAACGUCGGCGAUCAAACCGCGUAGAUCCAGUUCUUCUCUUGGCACUCCUUGUCGAGGAGGAAUAGUUGUCAUAAAUGUUGCAAGAUAAAUGGGUAAGGAGGAAUCUAGCGAGGCUGCGAUGGUAAAUUAUAUUCCAAAAAGGUGGAAAAAGCGUGACUGAAUCCAAGCGUCGCCGUGCGUAGUAUAAUUCUUGUCGAAUAAUGUAUUUUGUCAUAGCAAUUCAAAAAACAGUAAAAUUUAAAAAUUCAUUCUAACGAAUUCCAGUAAAAUUCCCUCGUGGAAAAGUUGCGAUAGGACUAGCGUUGCGGGAACUAAUAAUAGGUGACCGUGAAAAAUAGAAACGCAAUAGAACCGCGUCGAUUGUGGCAAGAACGCAGUUGUCGCUAUAUAAUUGAACUAUUAUUUUGCAUGCGUUAUUAAAUCGACGAUAGUAGUGCGACGCCGAAUGAGCCUUUCGGACAAGCUCCGUUUUAACGAAUUCGCGAUGGGGUGUCAUUGUUUUUAUCCUGUCCUUAUCGUAUUACAUAAAACAGCGCAUUGUUAUCGUUGCUGCAUAAAAUUACAGAUCGGAUAUCGGCUCGAGUUACUCCAAUCUCGUUUAGCGUAAUUUCGGAUAAGCUUUAUCAUCGAGUGCCUGAAAUCGGCGGGCUUUAUUUUUGAUUCUUGCUAAUUCGGACGACACGGUGAAAGAUAGUGUCUGUAGGACGCUACGUGAUCAGAUAAAAUAAUUACAAUUUGGACAAAUAAAUUUUAUUCGAGGAGA